GUGGGGAAUCUUAGACAAUGGGGGAAACCCUGAUCUAGCCAUGCCGCGUGAGCGAUGAAGGCCUUAGGGUUGUAAAGCUCUUUCAGUAGGGAAGAUAAUGACGGUACCUACAGAAGAAGCCCCGGCUAACUUCGUGCCAGCAGCCGCGGUAAUACGAAGGGGGCUAGCGUUGUUCGGAUUUACUGGGCGUAAAGCGCACGUAGGCGGAUUGGUCAGUUAGAGGUGAAAUCCCGAAGCUCAACUUCGGAACUGCCUUUAAUACUGCCAGUCUCGAGUCCGGAAGAGGUGAGUGGAACUCCUAGUGUAGAGGUGGAAUUCGUAGAUAUUAGGAAGAACACCAGUGGCGAAGGCGGCUCACUGGUCCGGUACUGACGCUGAGGUGCGAAAGCGUGGGGAGCAAACAGGAUUAGAAACCCUUGUAGUCC
rnacentral:rRNA from 1 species